rnacentral:rRNA from 1 species
UGGGGAAUAUUGCACAAUGGGCGCAAGCCUGAUGCAGCCAUGCCCGCGUGUGUGAAGAAGGCCUUCGGGUUGUAAAGCACUUUCAGCGAGGAGGAAGGUGGUGAGCUUAAUACGCUCAUCAAUUGACGUUACUCGCAGAAGAAGCACCGGCUAACUCCGUGCCAGCAGCCGCGGUAAUACGGAGGGUGCAAGCGUUAAUCGGAAUUACUGGGCGUAAAAGCGCACGCAGGCGGUUUGUUAAGUCGGAUGUGAAAUCCCCGGGCUCAACCUGGGAACUGCAUUUGAAAACUGGCAAGCUAGAGUCUCGUAGAGGGGGGUAGAAUUCCAGGUGUAGCGGUGAAAUGCGUAGAGAUCUGGAGAUACCGGUGGCGAAGGCGGCCCCCUGGACGAAGACUGACGCUCAGGUGCGAAAAGCGUGGGGAGCAAAACAGGAUUAGAUACCCUGGUAGUCCACGCUGUAAAACGAUGUCGAUUUUGGAGGUUGUGCCCUUGAGGCGUGGCUUCCGGAGCUAACGCGUUAAAUCGACCGCCUGGGGAGUACGGCCGCAAGGUU